UAUGGGGGGGGCUAGCGUUGCUCGGAAUGACUGGGCGUAAAGGGCGCGUAGGCGGACGGCUUUGUCGGGCGUGAAAUUCCAGGGCUUAACCUUGGGGCUGCGUUCGAGACGGGUUGUCUAGAGUUUGGAAGAGGGUCGUGGAAUUCCCAGUGUAGAGGUGAAAUUCGUAGAUAUUGGGAAGAACACCGGUGGCGAAGGCGGCGACCUGGUCCUUGACUGACGCUGAGGCGCGAAAGCGUGGGGAGCAAACAGG
rnacentral:rRNA from 1 species